AAUGAACGCUGGCGGCAGGCUUAACACAUGCAAGUCGAGCGGAGCGGCGGACGGGUGAGGAAUGCUUAGGAAUCAGCCUAUUAGUGGGGGACAACAUCUCGCAAGGGAUGAUAAUACCGCAUACUAAUAGAUUAGCCUAAGUCGGAUUCGCUAGUUGGUGGGGUAAAGGCCUACCAAGGCGACGAUCUGUAGCGGGUCUGAGAGGAUGAACCGGCACACUGGGACGUAGACACGGCCCAGACUCCUACGGGAGGCAGCAGUGGGGAAUAUUGGACAAUGGGGGGAACCCUGAUCCAGCAAUGCCGCGUGAGGGAAGAAGGCCUUAGGGUGGUAAAGCACUUUAAGCGAGGAGGCGUUACUCGCAGAAUAAGCACCGGCUAACUCUGUGCCAGCAGCCGCGGUAAUUC
rnacentral:rRNA from 1 species